rnacentral:rRNA from 1 species
UACGGAGGGUGCGAGCGUUGUCCGGAAUCAUUGGGCGUAAAGGGCGCGUAGGUGGCUUCUUAAGCGUGCGGUGAAAGCCUGGGGCUCAACCCCGGGUCGGCCGUGCGAACUGGGGGGCUGGAGCACUGUAGAGGCAGGCGGAAUUCCGGGUGUAUCGGUGGAAUGCGUAGAUAUCGGGAGGAACGCCGGUGGCGAAAGCGGUCGACUGGGCCUCUUCUGACGCUGAGGCGCGAAAGCCAGGGGAGCGAACGGG